rnacentral:lncRNA from 1 species
AGGACGGACGACGACACCGUGGCGGUUGAUGGCGGUGGCCGGUGGCGGUUGAGGCGAAGACACUUCUUCGGGCCUCGCUGCCAGACGCUGGGCAUCACCUUAACCAGCAAGGAGGUGUCCUACAUUUGCACAUUGUGCUCCAUGUGGCUAGCCGCAGAGGAUAGUGUGGAGUCCGCCGGUGAUGGAGAUGAUGGAUGGCUGCUACCACGCAACGUCGAGCUCAUCUCUAUACCACAUCGCUACAUCCUUCCAUGA